rnacentral:rRNA from 1 species
GAUGAACGCUGGCGGCGUGCCUAAUACAUGCAAGUCGAGCGAACAGACGAGGAGCUUGCUCCUCUGACGUUAGCGGCGGACGGGUGAGUAACACGUGGAUAACCUACCUAUAAGACUGGGAUAACUUCGGGAAACCGGAGCUAAUACCGGAUAAUAUAUUGAACCGCAUGGUUCAAUAGUGAAAGACGGUUUUGCUGUCACUUAUAGAUGGAUCCGCGCCGCAUUAGCUAGUUGGUAAGGUAACGGCUUACCAAGGCAACGAUGCGUAGCCGACCUGAGAGGGUGGUCGGCCACCCUGGAACUGAGACACGGUCCAGACUCCUACGGGAGGCAGCAGUAGGGAAUCUUACGCAAUGGGCGAAAGCCUGACGGAGCAACGCCGCGUGAGUGAUGAAGGUCUUCGGAUCGUAAAACUAUGUUAGUAGGGAAGAACAAAUGUGUAAGUAACUAUGCACGUCUUGACGGUACCUAAUCAGAAAGCCACGGCUAACUACGUG